GACGAACGCUGGCGGCGUGCCUAAUACAUGCAAGUCGAGCGAAUGGAUUAAGAGCUUGCUCUUAUGAAGUUAGCGGCGGACGGGUGAGUAACACGUGAGUAACCUGCCCAUAAGACUGGGAUAACUCCGGGAAACCGGGGCUAAUACCGGAUAACAUUUUGAACCGCAUGGUUCGAAAUUGAAAGGCGGCUCCGGCUGUCACUUAUGGAUGUACCAGGGUCGCAUUAGCGAGUUGGUGAGGUAACGGCUCACCAAGGCAACGAUGCGUAGCCGACCUGAGAGGGUGAACGGCCACACUGGGACUGAGACACGGCCCAGACUCCUACGGGAGGCAGCAGUAGGGAAUCUUCCGCAAUGGACGAAAGUCUGACGGAGCAACGCCGCGUGAGUGAUGAAGGCUUUCGGGUCGUAAAACUCUGUUGUUAGGGAAGAACAAGUGCUAGUUGAAUAAGCUGGCACCUUGACGGUACCUAACCAGAAAGCCACGGCUAACUACGUGCCAGCCGCCGCGGUAA
rnacentral:rRNA from 1 species